AGAGUUUGAUCCUGGCUCAGGAUGAACGCUAGCGGCAGGCUUAACACAUGCAAGUCGAGGGGCAGCAUAAUGGAUAGCAAUAUCUAUGGUGGCGACCGGCGCACGGGUGCGUAACGCGUAUGCAACCUACCUUUAACAGGGGGAUAACACUGAGAAAUUGGUACUAAUUCCCCAUAAUAUUCGGAGAGGCAUCUCUCCGGGUUGAAAACUCCGGUGGUUAUAGAUGGACAUGCGUUGUAUUAGCUAGUUGGUGAGGUAACGGCUCACCAAGGCGACGAUACAUAGGGGGACUGAGAGGUUAACCCCCCACACUGGUACUGAGACACGGACCAGACUCCUACGGGAGGCAGCAGUGAGGAAUAUUGGUCAAUGGACGCAAGUCUGAACCAGCCAUGCCGCGUGCAGGAUGACGGCUCUAUGAGUUGUAAACUGCUUUUGUACGAGGGUAAACGCAGAUACGUGUAUCUGUCUGAAAGUAUCGUACGAAUAAGGAUCGGCUAACUCCGUGCCAGCAGCCGCGGUAAUACGGAGGAUUCAAGCGUUAUCCGGAUUUAUUGGGUUUAAAGGGUGCGUAGGCGGUUUGAUAAGUUAGAGGUGAAAUUUCGGGGCUCAACCCUGAACGUGCCUCUAAUACUGUUGAGCUAGAGAGUAGUUGCGGUAGGCGGAAUGUAUGGUGUAGCGGUGAAAUGCUUAGAGAUCAUACAGAACACCGAUUGCGAAGGCAGCUUACCAAACUAUAUCUGACGUUGAGGCACGAAAGCGUGGGGAGCAAACAGGAUUAGAUACCCUGGUAGUCCACGCAGUAAACGAUGAUAACUCGUUGUCGGCGAUACACAGUCGGUGACUAAGCGAAAGCGAUAAGUUAUCCACCUGGGGAGUACGUUCGCAAGAAUGAAACUCAAAGGAAUUGACGGGGGCCCGCACAAGCGGAGGAACAUGUG
rnacentral:rRNA from 1 species